GAGGUUUCGAGACGAAAGCGUAGCGGCUGAUUCCCUGUUUCUACUCUGUUUUAUAUCGACGAAUUUGCAGUUUUGAAUUAAAGAACAAGAAGAUCCAUAGAAGAUUUUCAAACAAGAAGAUAUUAAAUUAUAAAACUUCAUAAAUUACAAGCAAUCUGUAAAAUCUGAAAACAGAGGGACGUACAAUUAAAGCAUAAUUUGCAACAAUUAUUUGAAAACACAAACAGACACAACGUAUAACGGUAUACAGAGAUCAUAACUAAUCAUGGGGAUAUUUUGGAGAAGAAACAGAGUUUACAAGCAACUUGCUUUAUUUUCUUCAAAAUCCAGGCGAAGAUUUGUCGCUUUAUGGCUCCUCGGACGGGAGUCACAAAUGGGUACGUAUUGCUUUUCUUGCGCUUGCCUGAAAAUGCAGAAUCAGACUCAAAAUUCUUCAUGCUAGUUUGCGCCUCCAUGUAUGGAUUUCUAAAGAGGCUGUGUGGCUUUCUGGUUCCAAAAAAAAAAAAAAGAGAGAGAGAGAGAGAGAGGCUGUGGCUGGGCGGGGGUGGUGGUGGCGGGUUCUGUUCC
rnacentral:lncRNA from 1 species